CCGUAUAGAGCGGUUGCAUCGCGCGUCAUCCACCCACGCACAACAGUUUUUGGAGGACAACCUCCAAAAACACAGGUGUAAACAAUGUAAAAGUACACGAAGAACUGGACACCAUUUGGCACAGUAGAACUAUGAUCCAGGAUACAGAGUGCUCUAGUAAUUGUAACUGUCAGUCUACCUUAGCUUACAGAGAAGGUUGAGUGUACUAGCUGAACAAGCUGAGCUCUGUGUGAAGAUGGUUACCAUAAUUAUGUUCAAGUGAAGAGGGUGUAGGAGUGCCCGAUCAUGUCACGUCAGGCAUUGAUCAUUGCUGGCUGGGAGGAUUGUGUGGGACACGAUCACCACAAUAUUAAGUACUCUUCGUGUACUAUGCUGUAAUUACAGCGCCAACUCUGACUGAGUGCCAUUAUUUAAGUCCUCCAACGGUUGCUGUAAUUAAAAGAUGUGAUGUUAGAUCCAAGGCAGUAGGCUUUUCUUUUAUUAUGCACAUGCAUUUGAUUCGUACCGUAGAGCUGCUGUAAAAUACAGAGACAAAAAAUCAAACCGUACAGUAGAUCCACUGCAUACUACUAUAGCUAUAAUAGCUGUGCGCUUAAGCGCCACCAUAAUAUUUUUGGGAAGUGUUGGCUAGAGUAAUCAGCACGGCACACACAGUUGGACAUAGACAAAAGACAAAGCACAUGGACGGACUGACACACAGCUAUAAAUAGACAAGCUAUAAAUAGAAGAGACACGCAGGGCCUCCUUACAAUAGAACAAUAGAACAAAAGCACACAUACAGGAAACAAUUAAGGGCUAAUCAUACAUUCCUAACAAACACCAUAGUAACUAACUAAUAAGAAUAAGUACAAGUGUUAAGUUUUUACAAUAGGAAGUUUGUGUAAAAAUGAUUUGGAAGCUGUAAACUACGCUCACUGCACACUCAGUUUAAGGUGGUAAAUUUCCAAAAAUAAGUGUAACAGUUUCCUUUGAGGAUAGAGUGGUGCGGGGGCCAUUGUUUACCUUACGUUACACUUAGCUAUACCAUAGAUAGUAAAGGAAAGGGAUUGGAAACGCAUUACGUGCACCAAUGUUUUCAACAAAAGUUGGAUGGUACAAUCCUACUUACGAUUUUUAAUGUUAUUCAUUGUUAGUCAAAAGGUCAUUUGUUGUUUUUUGAGCUAUAUUUUUGGACUUCAAGAUCAUUCUUUCAGCGUUCAAGCCAAUCAAGUAAGCUGUUUGGGUACAUAAAAACAUAAGCUUUCCAAUGGUAGUGGUCCCAUAAAGUUUGGAUGGUGUAUUGCACCCCAAAAAGUGUUUUUAAACCUUGAAAGUUAGGGAUGUGAAGCAAAAAGCUCGUAAGAAAAGGUGCAAGUCCUCCUCAACCAUUAACCAGAUCCCACUCUCUCUCAACAAAACAAAAGCAUCUAGGAAGACAUGAAUUCAACAAUGUCAUCCAUAAGACACGUAGUAACCUCACCUCAUACUAAGUAUACAUGUACGUGUUUAUUUUUGCUUGUGUGUGUAUACACUGUUUUUGUUUUUAUUCUCUCUGCAACCACUUUAAUAUUAUAAUUAUAACAUUCUUAGAGUACAAUACACUUAUCAUGCUUAUGAUUAGUGUCAAGACUCUAGUUUAGUAAGAUAAUAAACACAUUUUUGUCGUGAAUAAAAUAAA